rnacentral:rRNA from 1 species
UUAUACGACCGUACCGCAAACCGACACUGGUGCGCGAGAUGAGUAUUCUAAGGCGCUUGAGAGAACUCAGGAGAAGGAACUCGGCAAAUUGACACCGUAACUUCGGAAGAAGGUGUGCCCUAUUAGUGUGUAGUGAACAACGAAGCAUGAAUGGGUUGCAAAAAAUCGGUGGCUGCGACUGUUUAUUAAAAACACAGCACUCUGCAAACACGAAAGUGGACGUAUAGGGUGUGACGCCUGCCCGGUGCUGGAAGAUUAAAUGAUGGGGUGCAAGCUCUUGAUUGAAGUCCCAGUAAACGGCGGCCGUAACUAUAACGGUCCUAAGGUAGCGAAAUUCCUUGUCGGGUAAGUUCCGACCUGCACGAAUGGCGUAACGAUGGCCACACUGUCUCCUCCUGAGACUCAGCGAAGUUGAAAUGUUUGUGAUGAUGCAAUCUCCCCGCGGAAAGACGGAAAGACCCCAUGAACCUUUACUGUAGCUUUGUAUUGGACUUUGAACAGAUCUGUGUAGGAUAGGUGGGAGGCUUUGAAGCAGGGUCGCUAGAUCUUGUGGAGCCAACGUUGAAAUACCACCCUGGUGUGUUUGAGGUUCUAACCUAGGUCCAUUAUCUGGAUCGGGGACAGUGCAUGGUAGGCAGUUUGACUGGGGCGGUCUCCUCCCAAAGCGUAACGGAGGAGUUCGAAGGUACGCUAGUUACGGUCGGACAUCGUGACGAUAGAGCAAUGGCAUAAGCGUGCUUAACUGCGAGACUGACAAGUCGAGCAGAUGCGAAAGCAGGACAUAGUGAUCCGGUGGUUCUGUAUGGAAGGGCCAUCGCUCAACGGAUAAAAGGUACUCUGGGGAUAACAGGCUGAUACCGCCCAAGAGUUCAUAUCGACGGCGGUGUUUGGCACCUCGAUGUCGGCUCAUCUCAUCCUGGGGCUGUAGCCGGUCCCAAGGGUAUGGCUGUUCGCCAUUUAAAGAGGUACGUGAGCUGGGUUUAAAACGUCGUGAGACAGUUUGGUCCCUAUCUUCCGUGGGCGCUGCAGAUUUGAGGAAGCCUGCUCCUAGUACGAGAGGACCGGAGUGGACACACCUCUGGUGUAUCGGUUGUCACGCCAGUGGCAUUGCCGAGUAGCUAAGUGUGGAAGAGAUAACCGCUGAAAGCAUCUAAGCGGGAAACUCGUUUCAAGAUGAGAUCUGCCGGGGCCUUGAGCCCCCUAAAGAGUCGUUCAAGACCAGGACGUUGAUAGGUCAGGUGUGGAAGC